rnacentral:rRNA from 1 species
AUUGAACGCUGGCGGCAGGCCUAACACAUGCAAGUCGAACGAGUGGCGGACGGGUGAGUAAUGUCUGGGCAACUGCCUGAUGGAGGGGGAUAACUACUGGAAACGGUAGCUAAUACCGCAAACCAUCAGAUGUGCCCAGAUGGGAUUAGCUAGUUGGGGGGGUGACGGCUCACCAAGGCCACGAUCCCUAGCUGGUCUGAGAGGCAGACCGGCCACACUGGACCUGAGACACGGUCCAGACUCCUACGGGAGGCAGCAGUGGGGAAUAUUGCACAAGUGGCGCAAGCCUGAUGCAGCCAUGCCGCGUGUAUGAAGAAGGCCUUCGGGUUGUAAAUUACUUUCAUCGGGGAGGCGUUAUCCGCAGAAGAAGCACCGGCUAACUCCGUGCCAGCAGCCGCGGUAAUUC